UACAGAGGGGGCAAGCGUUGUUCGGAAUUACUGGGCGUAAAGGGCGCGUAGGCGGCCUUCUAAGUCGAACGUGAAAUCCCCGGGCUCAACCCGGGAACUGCGUCCGAUACUGGAAGGCUUGAAUCCGGGAGAGGGAUGUGGAAUUCCAGGUGUAGCGGUGAAAUGCGUAGAUAUCUGGAGGAAUACCGGUGGCGAAGGCGGCAUCCUGGACCGACAUUGACGCUGAGGAGCGAAAGCUAGGGGAGCAAACGGG
rnacentral:rRNA from 1 species